GACGAAUUCAGGAGUCCUUUAUUAGCCGGCAGCCGAGAGACAGCUAGCGCUCAAAAUUCUCUUGGCCCGGAAGAAGGAGCUAGAUUUUCUUCUAUACUUUGGUUUAGACAGGGGAGAGGGGGAGUCUAGUUGAAACAAUCUUACAGAAGUAAAGUAGGCAAAAAGUUAAAAGGAUAAACGGUUACAGGAAAGUAAACAGUUCCAGGUGCAGAGGCUUUAAGUCUAUCCUAAGGUGAUAGACGCCGGGCUUUGGGCGUUAUCAACCGGACACAAACGCAGGGGCUCUGGGUGCUAUUAACCGGGCGAAUUCCUGGGAACUGCGGAUAUAGCUUGCCACAGUAUCUUAUCAGUUAAUUGCAUUCUUGAUGUGCUGGGAGUCAGCUUGCACAAGUUAAGUCCUUGAGGAAGGGGGUGGGUAAGGAGCUGCGAGUGAAGGAGUCACGAUGGAGUCCGUCUGGCUCUCUUAGCUAAGGAAGAGUCACUUCAGGGUAAAACAAGGAAAAACAAUGCCUGUGUUUUGAAGUUCCUUCUUGGGACGAAACCAGCUGAAGCUGGCGAAAUCCAAGAUGGCGCCUCUGACGAGCCUCUGGCUUUAUUAUCAUCCAGUUCUCAUGCUAAACAACACUCCCACCAGCGCCGUGACAAUUGACAGUCGCCAUGACAACGACUGGAAGAGACCAAGAAGGGACAGAAAAAAAGGGGUUCCUUGAUUCCGGGAAAAAUCUCCGUUCUUUCCCAAGAAAAGCAUGAAUAUUCCCCCCCGUGCUCUUAAUGCCCAGCCCCUUCAUUAAAGACACCCUACCUCUGUAACUUCCCAGCUCUCACCAGCUAAGUUGAUUUCAGAUCUUCCAAUUCCAGAGCCAUUGAAUAAAGCCUGCACUGCUUGACACACUCCCUUUCGGUUUCGUGCAUUGGCCUCACCACACAACAGGAAACAAUCCUUUUUGGGAUAACCGGGACUCCCGGUAACAUUUCCAUAUAUACAUAUCUUAAUGUAUGCAAGGGCGUCUGGGGGAGAAAGAAGAAGCACAUUUCAUUCUUUGCUUUCUAUAAUACUGGAUUGCUUGAGUUUGUGACAAGGACACCCG
rnacentral:lncRNA from 1 species